rnacentral:rRNA from 1 species
GAUGAACGCUGGCGGCGUGCCUAAUACAUGCAAGUCGAGCGAAUGGAUUAAGAGCUUGCUCUUAUGAAGUCAGCGGCGGACGGGUGAGUAACACGUGGGUAACCUGCCCAUAAGACUGGGAUAACUCCGGGAAACCGGGGCUAAUACCGGAUAACAUUUUGAACCGCAUGGUUCGAAAUUGAAAGGCGGCUUCGGCUGUCGCUUAUGGAUGGACCCGCGUCGCAUUAGCUAGUUGGUGAGGUAACGGCUCACCAAGGCAACGAUGCGUAGCCGACCUGAGAGGGUGAUCGGCCACACUGGGACUGAGACACGGCCCAGACUCCUACGGGAGGCAGCAGUAGGGAAUCUUCCGCAAUGGACGAAAGUCUGACGGAGCAACGCCGCGUGAGUGAUGAAGGCUUUCGGGUCGUAAAACUCUGUUGUUAGGGAAGAACAAGUGCUAGUUGAAUAAGCUGACACCUUGACGGUACCUAACCAGAAAGCCACGGCUAACUACGUGCCAGCCGCCGCCGUAA